UUGGUAUCUUAGUGGCGGACGGGUGAGUAACGCGUGGGUAACCUGCCUUACACUGGGGGAUAACACUUAGAAAUAGGUGCUAAUACCGCAUAACAGGAGAAGACGCAUGUCUUUUCCUUGAAAACUCCGGUGGUGUAAGAUGGACCCGCGUCUGAUUAGCUGGUUGGCGGGUAACGCCCACCAAGGCGACGAUCAGUAGCCGGCCUGAGAGGGUGAACGGCCACAUUGGGACUGAGACACGGCCCAAACUCCUACGGAAGGCAGCAG
rnacentral:rRNA from 1 species